UAGGAAUAGGGGUGCUCAGCGCCGACCUCCACCCUUUGUUGUUAAAACUACCUUGUUGCUUUGGCGGGACCGCUCGGUCUCGAGCCGCUGGGGAUUCGUCCCAGGCGAGCGCCCGCCAGAGUUAAACCAAACUCUUGUUAUUUAACCGGUCGUCUGAGUUAAAAUUUUGAAUAAAUCAAAACUUUCAACAACGGAUCUCUUGGUUCUCGCAUCGAUGAAGAACGCAGCGAAAUGCGAUAAGUAAUGUGAAUUGCAGAAUUCAGUGAAUCAUCGAAUCUUUGAACGCACAUUGCGCCCCUUGGUAUUCCGAGGGGCAUGCCUGUUCGAGCGUCAUUACACCACUCAAGCUAUGCUUGGUAUUGGGUGCCGUCCUUAGUUGGGCGCGCCUUAAAGACCUCGGCGAGGCCUCACCGGCUUUAGGCGUAGUAGAAUUUAUUCGAACGUCUGUCAAAGGAGAGGACUUCUGCCGACUGAAACCUUUAUUUUUCUAGGUUGACCUCGGAUCAGGUAGGGAUACCCGCUGAACUUAAGCAUAUCAAUAAGCGGAGGAA
rnacentral:rRNA from 1 species